CAGAUGGAGAGAAGAGAGAAAGAGAGAGAGGCGUGAGAAGAGAGGAGCCCUUCUUCUUCUCCUUGGCCUCUACCCUUUGGUGCCGCCCCUCCUCCCUUGGCAUGGGCCCUUCUUGGGCAUCCCACUUGCUAGUGUGAGGUGUCACACCAGCACAUCUCCUUCCUCAUUUGAUUGGAUUCACAUCAGCACAUCUCCUCCCUCAUUUGAUUGGGUUGUGA
rnacentral:lncRNA from 1 species